ACCCUGGUGGCGAGUGGCGAACGGGUGAGUAAUAUAUCGGAACGUGCCCAGUCGUGGGGGAUAACGUAGCGAAAGUUACGCUAAUACCGCAUACGAUCUACGGAUGAAAGCGGGGGAUCGCAAGACCUCGCGCGAUUGGAGCGGCCGAUAUCAGAUUAGGUAGUUGGUGGGGUAAAGGCUCACCAAGCCAACGAUCUGUAGCUGGUCUGAGAGGACGACCAGCCACACUGGGACUGAGACACGGCCCAGACUCCUACGGGAGGCAGCAGUGGGGAAUUUUGGACAAUGGACGCAAGUCUGAUCCAGCCAUUCCGCGUGCAGGACGAAGGCCUUCGGGUUGUAAACUGCUUUUGUACGGAACGAAAAAGCUCUUACUAAUACUAGGAGUCCAUGACGGUACCGUAAGAAUAAGCACCGGCUAACUACGUGCCAGCAGCCGCGGUAAUACGUAGGGUGCGAGCGUUAAUCGGAAUUACUGGGCGUAAAGCGUGCGCAGGCGGUUAUAUAAGACAG
rnacentral:rRNA from 1 species